GACCUGGUGACAGGAGCCAUGAGGGGCCAGGCCUCAGGUCCCACAGGUCAGUUGCAAGGGCCUAGCACAGCUAGCCCCCUGAGAGGCCUCCCUACUUAGUGGUCAGGUGUUAGGAAGGUUUGGUGGGGCCACUUGAGGUGCCCUGGGGUUGGGGUGAAACCCCUCUGCAGCCUAGUCAGCCCAAGGGCAUUGUGAAAGUGACAGCUGCCAGAGGUCUGGGUUCCAGCCCCUGGCUGACAUUAAACUUUUCUGAAUUUCGGUUUUUCCCUGUAAAUUGGGGAAAAUUACUUGCCCCAGCUUCAACACUGCCUCCCCUCCACCCUUUUGCUGCUGCCUUAUCAGGCCCCAGCUGUAGGCAGGUCAGCCCACGCCCGGCGGCAGAGCCCAGAGAGGCUCGCUCAUCUCAGCCGCCAGAAGUGUCAUCCCAGGGAAGCCUCCAGGACCACUGGCUGCCCAUGAGAGACGAAGGAUGGCAUCCAAGGGGGCCGGCGUGUCUUUCUCCCGCAAGAGCUGUAGGCUGACCUCAGAUGCUGAGAAAUCCAGGGUCACAGGCAUUGUGCAGGAGAAGCUGCUGAAUGACUACCUGAACCGCAUCUUUCCUCUUCUGACCAUGCACCCCCAGCAGCCACCGGCAGUUACUCGGGAGGCUGAGGCAGGAGAAUCGCUUGAACCGGAGAGGCGGACGUUGCAGUGAGCCGAGGUCAAACCAGUGCACUCCAGCCUGGGCAACAGAGCGAGACUCCAUCUGAAAAAGAAACAAAAAGAAAAAAAAA
ensembl:lncRNA novel transcript